UGAGGAAUAUUGGUCAAUGGGCGGGAGCCUGAACCAGCCAAGUCGCGUGAGGGAAGACGGCCCUAUGGGUUGUAAACCUCUUUUAUAAGGGAAGAAUAAGUGCCACGUGUGGCACGAUGCCAGUACCUUAUGAAUAAGCAUCGGCUAACUCCGUGCCAGCAGCCGCGGUAAUACGGAGGAUGCGAGCGUUAUCCGGAUUUAUUGGGUUUAAAGGGUGCGUAGGCGGACUGUUAAGUCAGCGGUCAAAUGUCGGUGCUCAACGCCGGCCUGCCGUUGAAACUGGCGGUCUUGAGUGAGCGAGAAGUAAGCGGAAUGCGUGGUGUAGCGGUGAAAUGCAUAGAUAUCACGCAGAACCCCGAUUGCGAAGGCAGCCUGCCGGCGCUCAACUGACGCUGAGGCACGAAAGUGCGGGGAUCGAACAGGAUUAGAUACC
rnacentral:rRNA from 1 species